UAUAUAAAGGGAGAAGGCCAGUUUGGUGAAGCAUUCAGAAAUACCAAGAAAGCCCCUUUGUUUUCUUCACAAUCCAAAUCCACAAAAAUCGGAAAAUGGGGACAAACUGGUAAAAACAAAACUACUGUGUUGAAGGACAAAAAAAAAAUAAUAAUCAAAAGUAAAUACAUGCUAAAAAUGAUGUAGGAGGAAUAAGCGCCAACCAGUUGACGGUUUCAUCUAGAGGAUUCCCAUGAUCUGAACUGAGUUUAGUGGGAGGUUCAACGGUAACUACCCACACCCCACUAAUAUUUAGAGAUGAAUAACCAAAAGGAAAUCCAUUUUCGUUUUCACGAGAUUAGUGUGUGGUUUCCAUUCGUUCGAAAUAGAAAAAGGAUUGAAAAAAUCAGUCACAAAUCUCCUUCUUUGUUGUUGCCAUUCUGGGUUUUGUGCUCUGCAUGCAACAGGCUUUUCAAAAUCAGGUACACCACUUUCUGAAUUAUGUAUUAAUUUUGUUUCGGAGAAGGAAUUCCCACAGUUGAACCUGGGCCCGUAGACAAGUGCGAGGCUCUCAAGCGAUUGCUCGCUCUCAUUGCCCAAGGCUUCCAAGUCUCCAAUUUCUUCCCUGAGGAAAUGAAACUGCUCUCCUCCUCUUCUUGAUACCCACGUUGAUAGCAUUGAUCUUCAACAGUUAAAGGUGAAGUCUCAUCUACCUCCAGUCCCUCAUCAAUAAUUUUUGUCCCAUCCCUUUUGUAAAUUUAUUUUUGUUUGCUCACUAUGACGAUUUCAGGGCAUGCUUUAGUUCGCAGUCUUCUUUUCCUUUUUUCAGUGCAUGUAUCAAUAUUCAACACUUUAGUGUGUGGUGAACAUUCAUUGACAUAUCCCUUUUUUGGUGCGUGCAAGGGGGGGCUUUCCAGCAUCAAGGUACAUCAAUUUUUAUUUCAAUGGAUUUUGUUUCUUGGCUAUAGGGAGUUUUUGUUUAUAAUAAUCCAUUUUUCAAUUAAUCGUGCUUUUUCCAUUAGGUUUUCAAAUUAUUUUCCAAUUCUUUCUCUAUUAGUCUAUGUAUUUUAUUGAUUUUUGUUCCUUCUAUUGUAUAAAAAACUUGAACUAAACUCUUACUGGGUUUGUGCUUUACAUUUUUGUCCUGCCAAGACUUUCUACUAUUUUGACUUCUUUAAAUUUCGUUAUUUGAACUCUCUGAAUUUCGUUACCUAAAUCGUGCCUAAUAUUUGAUGUGGUAUGUGGCUUUGUAUGGCUGGCUGGUGUUAUUUGGGGGUGUUUUUAGUUAAAAUGGGAGACAGGGCACAUUAGUUAUAUGUGUGCUCAUGAAUUGAUUAGGAUUAGGAUAGUAGAGUUUUCGCUAAAGUGAUAGACAUUACGAAACAACUGCUGGGAAAGUAGUGGUGUGAACUGUGAAGGAUUUUGGUAAUGGGUUUUGAAAAGGAGACGUUUAUAUCUAAUGUAUUUUCUGUUCCUUUAUACAUGAGGAUUCCUUUAUUAAUUAUUGAAAGUUAGUGACAGUUCCUCUUAAAGUUGACGAAAGUAAACUUGGUGGCACAUAAUAGCCAGGUAAACUAAACUUGGUGCCAUUUGUCACUCUAUGUUUCAUUCAACUUGGACUUGAGUUUCUUCAUUGAAAGACAAACCCAAGCUUACAUGUUUUCAUAUUAGUUGUGUUUAUACUUUGCCUUGGGCAAUUUGGUUUUUACAAUGUGCAAGCGCUCCAAAUUUUAUAUAGCUCUUAUGAAUAUGGGAUAUUUCAGGGAAUUCAUAAGCUAACCAACAAUAUAACUUUUUUAACGGCAAGUGUUUCUUAUCAUCUAUUAUUUUUUAUGGUUAUCUUUUUCAGUCCUAGAUUUAUGAACUUAAUGACUUAGGAACACAAAAUAGAUUCAACACAGCUUUGGUAAUUAAUCGUGCUUUUUCAUGGAUUUUGUUUCUUGGCUAUAGGGAGUUUUUGUUUAUAAUAAUCUAUUUUCCAAUUAAUCGUGCUUUUUCAGUCCUUAUGUUAGGCAAAAACUUAAAAUGUAGUCAAAUUCGGGAAACUCUCUCAAAAGAGAGAUUAAAUUCUUCAAUGGAUUAUUAUAAACAAAUUAAGUAAUAAACCACUAUUAUUUUUCAAUGAAUUACUCACAUAUGUCCAAAUUCAAAUGUUAAUUUUCCCCUUUGUUAUCUUCACAAUCAAACCUUUAAAAGUUUAAAAAGCUAGGACAAAUUGGUAAAAAAAACCAUAACCGAACAAAAAAACUGUAUUGGAAAAGAAUAAAUUUCAGAAAAUAAAAAAAUUAAAAAAAGCAUUAUAAUUAUCCUCUAAAAUUUAGCAUUAUUGCGGUUUAGACAGUAAAACAAAGAAAAAAGUGCGCCCAGUUCCUCAUUUUCUUUUAAGACCCUAAAAUACAACAUUUUAAUUAAAAACAAAAAUCAAAACUUUAAUAAAAACAAAUCAAUUAAAAAAUAAAGUGGAGAACACCAAUUUAGGAGAUAAAUAUUAAAAAAUAAAGUGAAAAAAAGGCCACAUGGUGAAUAACUGCUCUCCAUUUUAGGAGAGGGAUAUUAAACAGAAAAAUUAAAAUUUGUUAUAUUGGAAAAAAAAAAAAAACAAAACAAAACAAGAACGGAAUAACUUCUCCUCCAUUUUAGGAGAAAAUAUUAAUAUCUAUAUUAAAAAAAUCUAAUAAAUUAUACUAAUAUCUGCAUAUGGUAAUUUUAAAAAUUAUUUGUUUUCAUUCUCAGGAUAUUUACAAGAAUACCCACAAAAAAUGAAGAAGGAACUACCUAUUCAUAAGAUCCCAAACGGACGUGUCUCUAUUUUUACACCUGGUUGGGAGAUAUCUGUCAGAGUAAAAACUACUGAUCUAAGCCAACUGAUUCUCAAAGAGUGGAAAAAGAAGAAGCAUGAGCAGUAUGUAUCCUAAAUUAUAUACUAAAUUUGUUACAAGGAACUUAAUUAUUUUAUAUAUACCUUCAAUAUAUAGGUGGUGCAUGAAAAAGGCUGUAGAAGAAUUAAAACCUUCAACAACUCCUCAAAUCAUACGUAUUUGGAAUAAAGUCCAACAAAUUAUG